GAUGCUUUCUGAAAUGUUAGUGUACUGCACAGAGGCUACUGAGGCACCAGAAAUAGGAAGCACUGCUCUGCAAAACAGCUUUUAAUGGGACUCGAACCCAUCAGGUACUGCCUGAAAACCACAUGGCCUGCUUCAGCUUCCACUCAGACUAUCUCAGGUGGUGGCUGCAAAAUGAAAAUGCUCGACUGAUAAACACUUGUGAGGUAGGUGAAAGAGGCUCUCAUUUCAAGUUCAAAUCCAACAUCUUCCCCCGCAGUUUGAGGGAGAGGAUUAGGUCCCUUUGCCACACAUUUCUCCUGUCUCCACCCCUCCCACCCCCUCCUUCAGCAUCUAUAUCCAAACCCUGCAUCUGAACAAAAAAAAAGCUGUAUCUGUCCCUUAGUAAAACAUCUUUUAUUUGCCAACUUGUUUUUCCCACAGAUUCCCGCUCCCUUUUGUGUUUGUGCUAAUGUUCCGAAUGUCUACACCGCGUAGCUGAUGAUUAUUUGUGAGACAGAGUGAGUUAAUGCAGAUUUGCAAGCUGUUCCCAUUUGUUAAAUGUCAGAAAAACACAUGCAAGUCACUGGCUUUAGCACUUAGCUGCCAGCUGGCUCUUCUGAAAGGAGGGGACAAAUGACAGUCUAUCAAACAGCAUGCUUUCAAAGAAAGAGGAGACCUGUUCCAGAACUGCAGCUUCAGAGGCUCUUUUAACAACAUAAGCAAAACUGGGAGCCAACCUCAUUUUUUCCCCCUGGCUGUAAUGAACACACAGCUUAGCUACAGCAGUCUCCCACCCCCAGUAAAAUGAACUGGAAUUACAAAGCUUAUGAAGAAAACAAGUGUCGUUUGUUGGUUUUUUGUUUUUUGUUUUGGUUUUGGUUUGUUUUGUUUUUCCCUCUAUCUUUUUCUUUUCUUUUUACUUGUUUUUCCCUAUUUCUUUCUUUUUCGGAUCAAAAGUAAGACCAAAAAUAAUGUCAAAAGGGAAAGGAGUGGGGUUCUGAGAUCAGUCUCAAAUCUCAGAAGAAGACUGCACGAAAUGGUGCCAAAUUGAAGUAUUUAUCCAUGGGUAAGUGCCCAGUGUAGAUUAACAUAUUUUAAUUAUGGUCUCUGGGUUUGCUGUGCUCCCUGAAGAACACACAGUUUAGGCCUCACUGGUGAGCCAAAGCUGUGUGUGUGUGUGGGGGGGGAUUUUUUGUUUGUCAUGCAUGCUGAUGGGGAGUGCUGUCCUCAGGAUGUGCCUUUCUCCUCCAGCAGCCUCAAGCGGAGGCAGUGCUGGAUUCUUUGUACCACUCGACAUGCUCUGAUCCCAACCUGGCUGCCCAGCGGCUGUCAGCAUGGAGGUCUGGGCAUGGUGCUGCUUGCCUGGGUGAUGUCCACCAGGGCCUCCAACAUCACCCGCUCAUUAGGAUGUCUCUGAACAGCUGUCAUGUGGUGCUGACUUUUUGUCACAGCUGACAGUGGUGAGAUUAAAGCAGGUAGCCAGAGGCUGAAAGACUCUCUUUUGUUACAAAGCUCUGAGUCAUCUAGUCUCCUGUUAUAAAUAUCAGUCGUCAGAUUUGGAUUCACACUGAGUCACUCGCAGUCUUGGGUAGGACUCAUUGCACUAAUGGGCAAUUUUGUGUUGCGGGACUAUUAGUAUACAAGAUUGCCACCACUGUCAAGAUAUCAAAAUGUGAUCUUGUGUGUUUAAUAGUUCAUAAUGAACAAGCUGUACUACUCUACUGAACAUCUUCCACUUAUUCAGUACGAUUUUGAAGAGAGUAGUCAAUUCCCAAAGUUCUUCCUGAUUCACACUCAGUGUUGGAUCCAGAAAACAUACGGGGAGGAAGGAGCAUCGUGUAGGGCAAGAUUCAGGUGUUAUGCUUUGUUACAUGAAGUCAAGUGCUGCCUUCACUAAAUUACCAGAUUCAUUUUCACAGGCAAAAGAGAGAGGCAGAACUAUGAAGGUCGCCUGCAUAGAUUUAAUAGAAGGGAGGCACUACUGCUUACUUCUAUCACUGCAGGGACUCCAGGUGUCCCAGGUGACUUUAGGAUCAGUUCUAGCCAAUGAAAUGGGGGGGGGGAAAAAAACCAAAACAACGUGAAAUGAAGACAAGUGCAUCUUAAGAGCAAUCUAAAAGACGGACUUUGGCUUUGAAAGUAGCCUUAGAUUGUCAUCCAAACCACACCUACUCUUAACUUCUUGAUCCAAGGGAAGCAAAUACUCUCUGGAUAUGUAAGUUUUUACCCUGAAAAUAUACCCUAGGGAACCCUCAAUUUGAAAGCAAGUGGCUAACUCCGACAUUAAUCUCUGCGAGAUCCUGGAAUUAGGCAAAGUUAAGCCUCUAAAUCUGAUAAGUACAAGCUGAACAAUCUUCACUGUCUUCAGGAUCAAUGCAUGGCCUUGUUUCUGUCUUCCUUCAAAGAAAAAACAACUCUAGAUAUAACCAAAAGAUGAGAUUUCCUAAGUUCCAGGCUAUAGGCAUUCAAAAGAGUAUGAAACAAGAUACCUCAAUUACUCUAAGCUUUCCUUUAAGGUCUCAAAUUGUAGACUUUUAGUCAAUCUGGAGAAACACUGUGAGAGUCAUUGUUCUGCAGCUGGAGCAACUUCACUCCAUUUUGAAUUUCAGGUGUUCAGGGUCUUCAGAGCUAGAUCCACUGAGAUAUUUAGACCCGCGGAUAUUUUGGCACCCAACUUCUGUUUGUCCCACCACAUAUAUUAACAGAGCUUAAAGUCAACUUGGCUGUAAAGAGCAUCAGAAAAUGAAAGUAUCAAGCAAUAUCUGUCUUUAGAGAGAGAGAAGGCAGUUGUUAUCUAAAAAUUUCCCCCACAUUAGGUUCUUAUUAUCUUUCCUUUUGCACCAUCAACUGUUCCAUGCAAUUGUGCUUGGAAUCGUUCAACUGAAAAGAAAGGCUCCCCUGUCCAUCUUCCUGGCAAACGUGUUCAAAGGUACCUCCUUUUUUCAUUCCCUUUCUUGGAUCUGGCUGGCAAAGCUUAUCAAACAGAGCGUUAACGUCAUAGCCUCUCUAAGUCUCCAAAGUCUGACCCCAAAUACAGAGAUCACUGAAUCUGUUGCAGGUUAGCAUAUGGCACUUGUUUGAGAGCACUGUUAGUGAAAGACUGAAUCCGACAGUCUGACAGAUCCAAGUGUGUUGUAGCUAGCUCUGUGCCUUAUAUCCAACCACUAUUGAUGCUGGAAGUAUCCUGCCUAUAGAUACACACACAGGCACUCAUAUGCAGCAUAUAUGCAUUUAGGAAUAUAUAUACACAUCCACAUAGGUCACAAGUAGACACAGAGAGCACUCAUACAAACAGCCUGUACAAACCACUUCAUCCUGUCCUCUAUCUGGCUGAUGAGACUGAAAGUCUGUCAGUGCAUAAUAAUAAAAAUACAAAUAUAUAUGUGUAUGCA
ensembl:lncRNA